GAUGAACGCUGGCGGCGUGCCUAACACAUGCAAGUCGAACGAAGCACUUUAAAUAGAUUUCUUCGGAAUGAAGUUUUUUGUGACUUAGUGGCGGACGGGUGAGUAACGCGUGGGUAACCUGCCCAGUACUGGGGGACAACAGUUGGAAACGACUGCUAAUACCGCAUAAGCCUACGGUGUCGCAUGACACAGUAGGAAAAAUUCCGGUGGUACUGGAUGGGCCCGCGUCUGAUUAGCUAGUUGGUAAGGUAAUGGCUUACCAAGGCGACGAUCAGUAGCCGGCUUGAGAGAGUGAACGGCCACAUUGGGACUGAGACACGGCCCAAACUCCUACGGGAGGCAGCAGUGGGGAAUAUUGCACAAUGGGGGAAACCCUGAUGCAGCAACGCCGCGUGAGUGAAGAAGUAUUUCGGUAUGUAAAGCUCUAUCAGCAGGGAAGAUAAUGACGGUACCUGACUAAGAAGCACCGGCUAAAUACGUGCCAGCAGCCGCGGUAA
rnacentral:rRNA from 1 species